GCCAUUUCUAAUCAGCACUCACCACGAUACAAUACAAUUAUGUACAGCACAAUGAAGCGAUCAAUUGAAAUCGAUUUCUGUUUUAUUUUUACUGAGAACUAGCCAACAUGUGGUUAUGCUGUAUUUUCUUAACCUUAACCUUGGGAUCGCUCUUUCAGGCCAGAUAUCUGGAUGAGGAUAUGCUUUUGUUUUGGAAGCGUUCAGAAGCUGUCGGCUGCAAGCCUUUUACAUCAUACACAGUGGAAUGCAAUCGAUGUGUGUGUGGUGCUGAUAGUAUAGAGUACUGCACCCGAAUGUCUUGCUUAGUGCCAGAAACAACAAGAUCCGAUGAAAAUUCAGACUACUCAAAACAGGAUUAAUUACAUUUAUAAAACCCACAUCUGUAACUUUUAAAUUGACAUAAUUUUAAUAAGAAAUUUUUACUUUCAAAUUAAUGGAUCAUAUUAAUAUAUUGGCAGCUUAAGACUAAGAUUGCAUUGUUUAAUAAAUUGUUAUUAGAUAGUUAACUUUUACUAUAUAUUUUAAAUAA